GUGGGCUACGGCGACAUGUGUCCCACCACGCUGGGGGGCAAGAUCGUGGGCACGCUGUGCGCCAUCGCGGGCGUGCUGACCAUCGCUCUGCCCGUGCCCGUCAUCGUCUCCAAC
rfam:Colius striatus contig72537, whole genome shotgun sequence.